rnacentral:lncRNA from 10 species
AGUGUGGAUUAAUUGAAGCGAUGCACCAGAAGUUCAUGGUCCAGGGGCGGGCUCAGAGUCGGCCCUCAGUGGCCCUGGCUGAAAUCCAUUAGGACUGUGGGGACGGUCACCCUCACCAACUCCCACUUCCUGCCAGCGGAUCCCUCUCUUGGGUAAUGAGCUGGUGGGGGGAUGUUCCCAGGUUGGAGCCACGUUUGACCUGAGAUCUUCUGUAUUCUCUAGGGCGAGAAAGGCCCACAAGGCCCAGCUGGCCGAGACGGUCUCCAGGGGCCUGUGGGGCUCCCGGGUCCAGCUGGCCCUGUGGGUCCCCCUGGAGAAGACGGAGAUAAGGGAGAGAUCGGGGAGCCGGGGCAGAAAGGAAGCAAGGGGGACAAAGGAGAACAGGUAAGUAUUGGCACGGGGGCGCGCGGCAGCCCCCAGGUCCCGGGGGGCCUCGUCGCAGGCUGUAGGCCGUGUGCCAUGCACGUUCUCUUCCAACGUUGCUGAUGACUAGCGGGACAUGCUGUGAAAAUCUCCCGUGCAUGUGUGUUCCC